rnacentral:rRNA from 1 species
UACGUAGGUGGCGAGCGUUGUCCGGAUUUACUGGGCGUAAAGGGAGCGUAGGCGGUUUUUUAAGUGGGAUGUGAAAUCCCUGGGCUUAACCCAGGAAUUGCAUUCCAUACUGGGAAACUAGAGUGCAGGAGAGGAAAGUGGAAUUCCAAGUGUAGCGGUGAAAUGCGUAGAGAUUUGGAGGAACACCAGUGGCGAAGGCGACUUUCUGGACUGUAACUGACGCUGAGGCUCGAGAGCGUGGGGAGCAAACAGGG